GUCUGGGUGGUGUAGUUGGUUAUCACGUUAGUCUCACACACUAGAGGUCCUUGGUUUCAACCUGGGCUCAGACA